rnacentral:rRNA from 1 species
AUUGAACGCUGGCGGCAGGCUUAACACAUGCAAGUCGAGCGGAGAGAAGUAGCUUGCUACUGAUCUUAGCGGCGGACGGGUGAGUAAUGCUUAGGAAUCUGCCUAUUAGUGGGGGACAACAUUUCGAAAGGAAUGCUAAUACCGCAUACGUCCUACGGGAGAAAGCAGGGGAUCUUCGGACCUUGCGCUAAUAGAUGAGCCUAAGUCGGAUUAGCUAGUUGGUGGGGUAAAGGACGGCCAAGGCGACGAUCUGUAGCGGGUCUGAGAGGAUGAUCCGCCACACUGGGACUGAGACACGGCCCAGACUCCUACGGGAGGCAGCAGUGGGGAAUAUUGGACAAUGGGCGGAAGCCUGAUCCAGCCAUGCCGCGUGUGUGAAGAAGGCCUUAUGGUUGUAAAGCACUUUAAGCGAGGAGGAGGCUACUUUAGUUAAUACCUAGAGAUAGUGGACGUUACUCGCAGAAUAAGCACCGGCUAACUCUGUGCCAGCCGCCGCAGUAACAC